AGGCAACCAAAGUUUUCCCAAUAAUGGAGAUUGCUUGCUCGUAGGGAUUAAGACCAUGUCCAAUGUUAUGUAAGCUUCGCCCACUGAAUGACAGAUCUGAAGA